rnacentral:rRNA from 1 species
CGUGGAUAACCUACCCUUAGGACCGGAAUAACCCCGGGAAACUGGGGAUAAUACCGGAUAAGCCAUAGACGCUGGAAUGCCCUAUGGUACAAAGCUCCGGCGCCUAAGGAUGGAUCUGCGGUCUAUCAGGUUGUAGUGGGUGUAACGUACCUACUAGCCGACGACGGAUACGGGUUGUGAGAGCAAGAGCCCGGAGAUGGAUUCUGAGACACGAAUCCAGGCCCUACGGGGUGCAGCAGGCGCGAACACUUUACAAUGCGGGAAACCGCGAUAAGGGAACCCCGAGUGCCAGCAUCAAAUGUUGGCUGUCCGGAUGAUUAAAAAUCAUUUGUUAGCAAGGGCCGGGCAAGACCGGUGCCAGCCGCCGCGGUAACACCGGCGGCCCGAGUGGUAGCCGUUUUUAUUGGGUCUAAAGGGUCCGUAGCCGGCCUGAUAAGUCCUUUGGGAAAUCUGGCAGCUUAACUGUCAGGCUUCUAAGGGAUACUGUCAGGCUUGGGACCGGGAGAGGUAAGGGGUACUCCAGGGGUAGGAGUGAAAUCUUGUAAUCCCUGGGGGACCAUCUGUGGCGAAGGCGCCUUACCAGAACGGGUCCGACGGUGAGGGACGAAAGCUAGGGGAGCAAACCGGAUUAGAUACCCGGGUAGUCCUAGCUGUAAACGAUGCUCGCUAGGUGUCAGACACGGUGCGACCGUGUUUGGUGCCGCAGGGAAGCCGUUAAGCGAGCCACCUGGGAAGUACGGUCGCAAGGCUGAAACUUAAAGGAAUUGGCGGGGGAGCACUACAACGGGUGGAGCCUGCGGUUUAAUUGGAUUCAACGCCGGAAAACUCACCGGGUGCGACAGCAACAUGUAGGUCAGGCUGAAGGUCUUACCUGAAUCGCUGAGAGGAGGUGCAUGGCCGUCGUCAGUUCGUACUGUGAAGCAUCCUGUUAAGUCAGGCAACGAGCGAGACCCGCGCCCACAGUUGCCAGCAUGUUCUCUGGAACGAUGGGUACACUGUGGGGACCGCCGCUGCUAAAGCGGAGGAAGGAACGGGCUACGGUAGGUCAGUAUGCCCCGAAUCUCCCGGGCUACACGCGGGCUACAAUGGUUGGGACAAUGGGCACCUACCCUG